rnacentral:rRNA from 1 species
AUUGAACGCUGGCGGAAUGCUUUACACAUGCAAGUCGAACGGCAGCACGGGGGCAACCCUGGUGGCGAGUGGCGAACGGGUGAGUAAUAUAUCGGAACGUGCCCAGUCGUGGGGGAUAACGUAGCGAAAGUUACGCUAAUACCGCAUACGAUCUACGGAUGAAAGCGGGGGAUCGCAAGACCUCGCGCGAUUGGAGCGGCCGAUAUCAGAUUAGGUAGUUGGUGGGGUAAAGGCUCACCAAGCCAACGAUCUGUAGCUGGUCUGAGAGGACGACCAGCCACACUGGGACUGAGACACGGCCCAGACUCCUACGGGAGGCAGCAGUGGGGAAUUUUGGACAAUGGGCGCAAGCCUGAUCCAGCCAUUCCGCGUGCAGGACGAAGGCCUUCGGGUUGUAAACUGCUUUUGUACGGAACGAAAAAGCCUUGGCUAAUGCCCAGGGUCCAUGACGGUACCGUAAGAAUAAGCACCGGCUAACUACGUGCCAGCCGCCGCCGUAA